rnacentral:rRNA from 1 species
GUGCAUGCAGCAAUAUGAUGCCUGGCUUUCGCGGCCGGCUGAAGUAUUUUUUUCACCCAUGUCUUUUGCGCACUUGUUGUUUCCUGGGCGGGUUCGCCCGCCACCAGGACCAAACCAUAAACCUUUUUUUCUUAUGCAGUUUCCAUCAGCGUCAGUAAAAACAAUGUAAUUAUUACAACUUUCAACAACGGAUCUCUUGGUUCUGGCAUCGAUGAAGAACGCAGCGAAAUGCGAUACGUAGUGUGAAUUGCAGAAUUCAGUGAAUCAUCGAAUCUUUGAACGCACAUUGCGCCCUUUGGUAUUCCAAAGGGCAUGCCUGUUCGAGCGUCAUUUGUACCUUCAAGCUUUGCUUGGUGUUGGGCGUUUUUUUGUCUCCCUCUUUCUGGGAGACUCGCCUUAAAACGAUUGGCAGCCGGCCUACUGGUUUCGGAGCGCAGCACAUUUUUUGCGCUUUGUAUCAGGAGAAAAGGACGGUACUCCAUCAAGACUCUACAUUUUUCACUUUUGACCUCGGAUCAGGUAGGGAUACCCGCUGAACUUAAGCAUAUCAAAGCGGGGAGGGAAUC